rnacentral:lncRNA from 1 species
GCAGUCUGUAUUCCUCCAGCAGUGGGCAUUUUCUAAUGUUGGGGUAAGUGUAGUUCUGACAGGCAUGGAGGAUGAAAUGCAGGAGUUACGAGAAUUAGUAGCACAGCUGAAAGCAGACAAUGACCGGUUGCGUCGUGAGCGUGAGUUAUCUGGUCCCAGUACUGUUUCUGCUGCCCUGCAGGUGCGCCUGCUCCUCCCCAGCCAGUCGAGGCAGAUUCAGAUGUGCCAGAAAGGUUUGUUUUUGUGCCCAGAGAUAGACGAUGUCCAAAAUUUAGUGGCAAAUCCGGCACAGGUAUCGAUGAGUGGGUGGAGGAGGCGGAGGCAUGUAUGCGGGCUCGUUAUUUGUCCAAAGCUGAUAAAGCAUUUUUUCUCUUCGAUCACUUGGAAGGUGAAGCACGGGAGGAGAUUAGACACUGUUCCAGUGAGGAGCGGGGAGAUCCGGAUAAGAUUAUUGUGAGUGUACGGGAGUUGUAUGGUUGCUCUCACUCGUAUGUAGCACUUCAAGAAGCAUUUUUCUCCAGGAGGCAGCAAGACGGGGAAUCUCUGUUAGAAUUUUCCCUGGCCUUGAUGACUCUUCUGGAGAGGGUUAAACAACAAUCACCCAAUGCUAUCCCUAAUGCCGAAAUUGUGUUGCGUGAUCCGUUUGUUGAGUACGUUGCUGAUAGUGCCCUCCGCCGGGAACUGAAGCAAUUAGUUCGCCGCCAGCCCGCUUCUACCUUAUUAGAGAUACGCGGGGAAGCAAUUAGGUGGGAGCGGGAGGGGAUGCCAGGGGGAGCGAGGGGUAGGAGUCAGUCAGUUCCAAUGGCUUAUGGCAUCCAGUAUGGGGUGCAUGGGCAUUCUCAGUCGGAGCUGAGGCAGCUGCGGGAGAUGUUAAAAUCACAGCAGCAACAGUUAGAUCAGCUCACUCGGAGUGUUGCGGGUAUGCGGUUUCCUCAGCGUGUGCAUCGGCCUUCCCCUACUGAGGUACUACUCUGUCAUCGGUGUCAAAAACCGGGCCAUUUUGCCCGUGAAUGUGGAGGAGAACGUGUUUUUCCUCCCUCUCUAGAUCGGCGUGAGUCCCCUUCUAUGAUGAGGGAGGGGCAGAGUUCUUCCCAUCCGAUAGGAAAGCUAGUUCCUGCCGAGCUGCAGAGUCACAGUUCGGUAGGGAAAGAUCAUGACUCUGUGAUGUCUGGUCCCCUGCCACUUUUAAUGGCGUCGUGUCCUCACCUCGUUGUUUGUAUGGGAGGGGUACAAGUGCCCUGUUUGAUUGAUACUGGCUCCAUGGUGUCUACGAUCACGGAAAGUUGUUUUGUGGAGCUAUUUGCACCAUGGGGCCAGGAUCGUCUCAGGGCAUGUCAGUGGUUGCAGCUUUGUGUGGCCAAUGGGACUUCGAUACCGUAUGUUGGUUAUAUCGAGUUGGACGUUGAGCUUUGCGAUCAGGUAAUUCCAGGAUGUGGCGUGCUGGUUGUCAGAGAUCCUCCUGGGGGCACCGGUGCUCAAGUCCCUGGUAUUUUGGGAAUGAAUGUGUUGAGCCGGUGUUAUCAGGAGCUCUUUGGGCAGCACGGUGCCGCCCA